UUCCUCUUAAGAGCUGUUCACAACACUGCUGAGAGUAACUUUUACUGAAUUCAUACAUAGGGGGUGACCCUGUUGCUAUGGGUGACAUGUUUCAUAAAUAAUGCUAGAUGGACAUAUUUCAUUCGAUAUUUUAGAAGUCAAAAAGUCUUAGUGACUAAAGAUUCCUCUGAAUGAAACAAAACAUCCUCUAUGUCCCCUAAAUAUGUAGCAUUAAAUAAAAGAUAUCUAAUAUGAUUGUAGUUCAAAGUUUUUUUAAGACUUUGAUGUGAUUUCUGGUGAAAUGUGCUGCUAAAAAUGCAGAUUUGGUCUUUUUUAUUUAUUUUUUAUUAAAAACUUAGCAUUGAAAUGUUCCCAAAUUCGUUAACUGCUGUCAGGUUGGUUUUCCAACUGAACGAUGACAAUAGGUUUCUGUAUCACCAUGCUCCUUUAUCUAGUACUCACAUUCUUCUGCCGUUUUAUUAAAAGCUGGUAUUCCAAAAAGCUA